CUUAUAACAUAAGAACGCAGAAGAGCAAAUUCUCCUUUCUAGUUUGUCUCUGAUUCAUUUUGUGCGAGGACUGAAGCGCGGUCAUCUUUCCUUUCUUUACAUACGGCCAACUCAGUUGAGAUUCACCUGUGGGGAUAACGCGUGCCCGCGCAGGGUCUUCUGGAGACCGUUUGAGCCUCGAUCUGCAGACUGUUCAGGGAUCUCCCAGUCGUAUAGGCAGAGAGGGGGGCUCGCAUACUUUGCUCACUCGUGAGCCAUGCAGUCAAAACAAAGAAUGGGAAAUGAGAGCCGGAUAUUUUGAAUCCUGAAGCUACAAGGCAAG